rnacentral:rRNA from 1 species
CAGCAGCCACGGUAAUACAGAGGAUGCAAGCGUUAUCCGGAAUGAUUGGGCGUAAAGCGUGCGCAGGCGGUUCGUUAAGACAGAUGUGAAAUCCCCGGGCUUAACCUGGGAACUGCAUUUGUGACUGGCGGGCUAGAGUAUGGCAGAGGGGGGUAGAAUUCCACGUGUAGCAGUGAAAUGCGUAGAGAUGUGGAGGAAUACCGAUGGCGAAGGCAGCCCCCUGGGCCAAUACUGACGCUCAUGCACGAAGGCGUGGGGAGCAAACAGGAUUAGAUACCCCCGUAGUCCCUGUCUCUUAUAC